rnacentral:rRNA from 1 species
GCAUAUCAAUAAGCGGAGGAAAAGAAACCAACCGGGAUUGCCUCAGUAACGGCGAGUGAAGCGGCAAGAGCUCAAAUUUGAAAGCUGGCCCCUCCGGGGUCCGCGUUGUAAUUUGCAGAGGAUGCUUCGGGCUCAGCCCCCGUCUAAGUGCCCUGGAACGGGCCGUCGGAGAGGGUGAGAAUCCCGUCUGGGACGGGGUGCCUGGGUCCAUGUGAAGCUCCUUCGACGAGUCGAGUUGUUUGGGAAUGCAGCUCUAAAUGGGUGGUAAAUUUCAUCUAAAGCUAAAUACUGGCCGGAGACCGAUAGCGCACAAGUAGAGUGAUCGAAAGAUGAAAAGCACUUUGAAAAGAGAGUUAAACAGCACGUGAAAUUGUUGAAAGGGAAGCGCUUGCGAUCAGACUCGCCUGCGGGGUUCAGCCGGCAUUCGUGCCGGUGUACUUCCCCGUGGGCGGGCCAGCGUCGGUUCGGGUGGCCGGUCAAAGGCCCCGGGAAUGUGUCGCCCUCCGGGGCGUCUUAUAGCCCGGGGUGCCAUGCGGCCUACCUGGACCGAGGAACGCGCUUCGGCUCGGACGCUGGCGUAAUGGUCGUAAGCGACCCGUCUUGAAACACGGACC